rnacentral:rRNA from 1 species
AAUGAACGCUGAUGGCAUGCCUAAUACAUGCAAGUCGAACGAGAAAGCUCUUCGGAGUGAGUAGAGUGGCGCACGGGUGAGUAACACGUAGGUGAUCUGCCUUCUAGCGGGGACAACAGUUGGAAACGACUGCUGAUACCGCAUAAGCUGAAUAACUUUGGAAGGAAUUCAGGAAAGGUGGCCUCUAUUUAUAAGCUACCACUAGAAGAGGAGCCUGCGCAGUAUUAGCUUGUUGGUGGGGUAAUGGCCUACCAAGGCAACGAUACUUAGCUGGUCUGAGGAGGAUGAUCAGCCCACACUGGAACUGAGACACGGUCCAG